UACGUAGGGUGCAAGCGUUGUCCGGAAUUAUUGGGCGUAAAGAGCUCGUAGGCGGUCUGUCGCGUCUGCUGUGAAAACUCAGGGCUUAACCCUGAGCUUGCAGUGGGUACGGGCAGACUAGAGUGCGGUAGGGGAGACUGGAAUUCCUGGUGUAGCGGUGAAAUGCGCAGAUAGUCAGGAGGAACACCGGUGGCGGAAGGCGGGUCUCUGGGGCC
rnacentral:rRNA from 1 species